ensembl:lncRNA
CAGGAAUUAAGUGCGCAAGACUUUCCAGAUCUUAAAAAUGCCUAAUCGCAGUGCCCUUAAUGCAAUACUAAAUCCACACUAUCUUAAAUACCACUCCAGAGCGGUAUUUAAGACUUAGUGUAUCCCAUCAUGCAUCAUGUUGUGGAAAUAAAUCACAAGACAUUUUGCCAAGAUCGCGAGAGGUCACGGAAACCUUUCCAAAAUAAGUUAAAUAUUAAUAAUAUUUCGAUAUUACAAAUAAUUUGGUAGUAAAAAAAAAAAAAGUGUGACUCAUUUUGUUGGUGCAAAGGUGAGUAGCCUAUAAUUAUUUUGUACAUCAUUUGAAACUUAAUUAGAAGCACCAGAAAUUAAAGUGUGUCCCAUCAGGUAAGGAAAAUUUGUACACACACUUGUUUUUUUCAUCCUCACUUGAACACUUGGGCCAAAUACAGGAAAUACGUCAUAUAAGUAUUCAAGUGAUCAGGUGCAAAGACCGCAAGUGUGGGUAUUUGGACAAGGCGUGUGGCUCUCCAAGACUGACGUUGGCCACCCCUGCUCUACGUAGAUGUGUUUAAAAGUGUAUAAUAUUGGAGCACACCAUGCACAAAACACAGCCAAUCAGCAAUCAUGUAUGCCAGAGCUGUGUGGGUGGAGCAUGGUAAAGAAGUGGAGGGAACUGCACCAGACAACUGGAUUGAUGCUGAAAAAAAAUCAUUAGAUGGCCAAAAAAGGGGGAAAAGGCAGCUUUCCUCAAUCGGCACUCCCCUCAGGAUGACUGGAUGACGUUCACCUUGGUGAAGCGUAAAAUGACCUCCGAUAGCAUUCGUGAAUGCAAUGAUUAUGACAUGAUGAGUCAUGUCGAGGAGGAAGAUGAGGAAGCAGGACCGAGGAAAAAAACUAAACGUAACUUUGAUGACUAUGUUCUUGAAUCUGACGAUUUGGAGGAGGAAGAAGAGAACAUGACAGAUGCCAUUAUCAAGGUGCCCUCCUUUCCCAUUCCACCAACAAAGGUGACAAAGUCCAUCCAGAUGGAGUCUGCUGGAUUUAACAAAAAGUCCACUGACCCUGGACAUUUAAACAUAAACCGAGCCAGCCAGUUGAGGGGUGCUUGGUCCAGUCAUCAGUCCAGCCACAGUGAUGUAUCCCAGCACAGUGAUGUAUCCCAGCGGAGUGUCGGGUCCCAGCACAGCAAACGGUACCGACACAGGAAGCAGUCCAGGCACAGCGACCGGUCCAGGGACAGCAACCAGAUGGGACAAG